AGCGAACGCUGGCGGCAGGCCUAACACAUGCAAGUCGAACGGGCACCUUCGGGUGUCAGUGGCAGACGGGUGAGUAACACGUGGGAACGUGCCCUUUGGUUCGGAACAACUCCGGGAAACUGGAGCUAAUACCGGAUAAGCCCUUGGGGGAAAGAUUUAUCGCCAAAGGAUCGGCCCGCGUCUGAUUAGCUUGUUGGUGAGGUAAUGGCUCACCAAGGCGACGAUCAGUAGCUGGCUGAGAGGAU
rnacentral:rRNA from 1 species